rnacentral:rRNA from 1 species
GAUGAACGCUGGCGGCGUGCUUAACACAUGCCAGUCGAACGGAAAGGCCCAAGCUUGCUUGGGUACUCGAGUGGCGAACGGGUGAGUAACACGUGGGUGAUCUGCCCUGCACUUCGGGAUAAGCCUGGGAAACUGGGUCUAAUACCGGAUAGGACCACAUUUUGGAUGGUGUGGUGGAAAGUUUUUCGGUGUGGGAUGAGCUCGCGGCCUAUCAGCUUGUUGGUGGGGUAAUGGCCUACCAAGGCGUCGACGGGUAGCCGGCCUGAGAGGGUGUACGGCCACAUUGGGACUGAGAGACGGCCCAGACGCCUACGGGAGGCAGCAGUGGGGAAUAUUGCACAAUGGGCGCAAGCCUGAUGCAGCGACGCCGCGGGGGGGAUGACGGCCUUCGGGUUGUAAACUCCUUUCGCUAGGGACGAAGCGUUAUGUGACGGUACCUGGAGAAGAAGCACCGGCUAACUACGUG